rnacentral:rRNA from 1 species
GGGGAUCUUACUAGGUCCGGACCGAGUCUAUGAWUGUCGURCCGUUGGGUGUUACGUGAUUACUGGAUGAGUGGUGCAUGGCCGUUCUUAGNUUCGUGGUGUUAAUUGUCUACUUAAUUGUUUUCAGUUCUACGUAUCUCACAGDGCGUGAACUGCAUAACGAACGAGAUCGAGACCCGUGGUUGCGUUGUGUGAUGCGUCAACGUAAACUACAGGGAUUGCGUAAUAUACCCAACGGUACGAUUGAAAGACUCGGCAAUAACAGGUCUGUGAUGCCCUCAGAUGUUCUAGGCUGCACACGUGCUACAUUGUGAUUCCGUAGUGUGUGUGUAUGCAUAGAAUAUCUCGCACCGAGUCAUAACUGGUCACGCGGUUGGACUCACCGAUUGUCAAUUAUUCGGUAUACUAA